rnacentral:rRNA from 1 species
GACGAACGCUGGCGGCGUGCUUAACACAUGCAAGUCACGGGGGCCCGUAAGGGCAACCGGCGAACGGGUGCGUAACACGUGAGCGACCUGCCUUUCCGCGGGGGAUAGCCGGCCCAACGGCCGGGUAAUACCGCAUACGCUGCUCGGGGGGCAUCCCUCGAGUAGGAAACCUCCGGGGCGGAGAGAGGGGCUCGCGACCUAUCAGCUAGUUGGCGAGGUAACGGCUCACCAAGGCGGCGACGGGUAGCUGGCUGAGAGGAUGGCCAGCCACAUUGGGACUGAGAUACGGCCCAGACUCCUACGGGAGGCAGCAGUGGGGAAUAUUGCGCAAUGGCCUAACGGCUGACGCAGCGACGCCGCGUGUGGGAGGACGCCCCUCGGGGUGUAAACCACUGUUGCCCGGGACGAACAACCAGUUUUGACUGGUCUGACGGUACCGGGUGAGGAAGCACCGGCUAACUCCGUGCCAGCA